rnacentral:lncRNA from 1 species
CACUUGCCUACUUGCGACUGGGCUUCUGGUGGCUGCCCAAGUUCUUGGCUUGUGGCUGCAUCACUCCAGUCUCUGUGACCACAGGCCUUCUCUUGUGUCACCACGUUGCCUUCUGCUUCCCUAUUAUAAGAACACACCUGACUAUAUCUAGAGUUCACCCAGAUAAUCCAAGAUAAUCUCCCCAUCUCAUGAUCCUUAAUCGUAUCUUCAGAAUCCUUUUUAACAUAUAAG